rnacentral:lncRNA from 1 species
CCAGGAUUUUAGGUUAGGAGGGGUGCAAACUUAAAUUUUCGCCGAGCAGAGCGAGGCUAAAAAAAAUUGAGGUAAAAUUAUCGGAAUAUUCUUUAUUAAGCUGAGAACAACCCAUGCUUUGCAAAUUUAAGGGGAGGGUGCAAGCCCACAACCCUCCCCCGUCUGAAUCGCCCCUGCAUAUAUUCAAGUAUAGGACAAUAUAAUAAAUAAAAAAUGAAAUAUAGGGGGAGUCCCUGGAGUUACCCCACCCCUCCUGUUUGAGAACUUGAAACGGUCGAGAUCCACACCCCUUAACCAUAUAUAUUCAUGUUUGUGACAAUAUGAAAAAUCAAAUGAAAUAUAGGAAGAGUCGCUAGGGGUCACCCCACCCCUCCUGUUUUAGAAUUUAAAAAUGGUUGAGAUCCCCACCCCUAAACCAUAUAUAUUCAUGUAUGGGACAAUAUAACAAAUCAGAUGAAAUAUAGGGGGAGUCCCUUAGGUCACCCCACCCCUCCUGUUUGAGAAUUUGAAACCCAUUGAGAUCGCCACCCCUUAACCAUAUAUAUCCAUGUACGGGACAAUAUAACAAUUCAAAUGAAAGAUAGGGGAGUCCCUGAGGUCACUUUUCACCCUCCUGUUUGAGAACUUGGAAAUGGUCAAGAUCCUUACCCCUAAACCAUAUAUACUCAUGUAUGGGAAAAUAUAACAAAUCAAAUGAAAUAUAGGGGAAGACAUUAGUCCCUGUGGUCAUCCCAACCCUCCUGUUUGAGAACUUGGAAACGGUCGAGAUCCCCACACCAAAACAAUAUAUAUUCAUGUAUGGGUCAAUAUAACUAAUUAAAUGAAAUAUAGGGAGAGUCCCUGGGGGUCACCCUACCCCUCCUGUUUGAGAACUUGGAAACCAAUGAGAUCCCCACCCCUAAACCAUAUAUAUUCAUGUAUGAGACAAUAUAACAAAUAAAAUGAAAUGUAGGGGAAGUCCCUAGGGUCAUCCUACCCUCAGUGGCGGAUCCAGAAAUUUUCAUAAGUGGGGCCCACUAACUGACAUAAGAGGGGCCCGCUCCAGUCACGCUUCAGUGAUUCCCUAUAUAAGCAACCAAAUUUUUUCCCAAAAAGGGGGGACAGGGCCCCUGCCCCCCUAAAUCCUCUGCCUACCCCUGUCUGUUUGAGAACUUGAAAACAGUUGAGAUCCCCAACCCUAAAUUAUAUAUAUUCAUAUGUAUGGGACAAAAUAACAUUUACAUUUACUAUGGGCAGGUCAGUCAGACCUCACCUUUGAUCCCUGUUGUAGUGAACAUUUGUCUGAUUCGUGUUUCAUAACUUUUGUACUAUAGAACACAAACUCAGUUUUCUUUCCAGGGAAACCAGUCCAUGCAUACUAUUACAUGUUCAUACCAAGUCAAAUUGAACUUCUAGCAGUCAAAUAAAACCAAGGUUAACUACCAAGUAGAACAACUGCAAUCAUUGGGAACUUGUACCACUGCAGACUCACCAUAAAAAAUAUACAUUGAUAUAUGCAUUGCUUUUGAAACCUUGAUAACAUAUAAAUUAUUUGCCUUAAAAAAUAAAUCAUUAGAUAAACAUGAAUGAACUAUAUAUGAAUGUUUAAUUUUGAGGCAACAUUGCCACAGUAUUCAUAAUUACGGUUACCUUGGUUUUUGGUUAACUGCCUUCAGCGCUUACAGCGCUUUGAUUCUU